AACUGGGGGCAAAGCACUAGAAACGUUAAAUUUAAGAAUUAACAUAGAAUGUAUUUUAUGUAAUCUAAUACAUGAUGGCAAAAAUCGGACUGCGCAGAAUCACAUAAGAGAGGUCAACUAUCGGACAAAGUGAGGAAGACUAUGGAAGACCACCAGAGGG